UGCAAGUCGAGCGGUAGAGAGAAGCUUGCUUCUCUUGAGAGCGGCGGACGGGUGAGUAAUGCCUAGGAAUCUGCCUGGUAGUGGGGGAUAACGUUCGGAAACGGACGCUAAUACCGCAUACGUCCUACGGGAGAAAGCAGGGGACCUUCGGGCCUUGCGCUAUCAGAUGAGCCUAGGUCGGAUUAGCUAGUUGGUGGGGUAAUGGCUCACCAAGGCGACGAUCCGUAACUGGUCUGAGAGGAUGAUCAGUCACACUGGAACUGAGACACGGUCCAGACUCCUACGGGAGGCAGCAGUGGGGAAUAUUGGACAAUGGGCGAAAGCCUGAUCCAGCCAUGCCGCGUGUGUGAAGAAGGUCUUCGGAUUGUAAAGCACUUUAAGUUGGGAGGAAGGGUUGUAGAUUAAUACUCUGCAAUUUUGACGUUACCGACAGAAUAAGCACCGGCUAACUCUGUGCCAGCAGCCGCGGUAAUACAGAGGGUGCAAGCGUUAAUCGGAAUUACUGGGCGUAAAGCGCGCGUAGGUGGUUAGUUAAGUUGGAUGUGAAAUCCCCGGGCUCAACCUGGGAACUGCAUUCAAAACUGACUGACUAGAGUAUGGUAGAGGGUGGUGGAAUUUCCUGUGUAGCGGUGAAAUGCGUAGAUAUAGGAAGGAACACCAGUGGCGAAGGCGACCACCUGGACUGAUACUGACACUGAGGUGCGAAAGCGUGGGGAGCAAACAGGAUUAGAUACCCUGGUAGUCCACGCCGUAAACGAUGUCAACUAGCCGUUGGGAGCCUUGAGCUCUUA
rnacentral:rRNA from 1 species